GACGGAGGGUGCUAGCGUUGUUCGGAAUCACUGGGCGUAAAGGGCGCGUAGGCGGCCAAGGCCGUCGGCUCGUGAAAGCCCGGGGCUCAACCCCGGAGGUGCGGCCGAUACUCCUUGGCUGGAGGCCGGAAGAGGAGGGUGGAAUACCCAGUGUAGAGGUGAAAUUCGUAGAUAUUGGGUGGAACACCGGUGGCGAAAGCGGCUCUCUGGUCCGGUCCUGACGCUGAGGCGCGAAAGCGUGGGGAGCAAACAGG
rnacentral:rRNA from 1 species